CCUACGGGAGGCAGCAGUGAGGAAUAUUGGUCAAUGGGGGGAACCCUGAACCAGCAACGCCGCGUGGGGGAUGAAGGUUUUCGGAUUGUAAACUCCUUUUUUUCGGGAAGAUAAUGACGGUAUCUAACGAAUCAGCACCAGCUAACUCCGUGACAGCAGCCGCUGGAAUCCGGAGGGUGUACGCGUUACUCGGAAUCACUGGGCGUAAAGAGCGCGUAGGCGGGAUAGCAAGUCAGAUGUGAAAUCCUAUGGGUUAACCAUAGAACUGCAGUUGAAACUGUUAUUCUAGAGUAUGGGAGAGGUAUGUGGAAUGCGUGGUGUAGGGGUAAAAUCCGUAGAGAUCAAGAGGAAUACUCAUUGCGAAGGCGACCUGCUAGAACAUAACUGACGCUGAUGCGCGAAAGCGUGGGGAGCGAACAGGAUUAGAUACCCCUGUAGUC
rnacentral:rRNA from 1 species